GACGAACGCUGGCGGCGUGCUUAACACAUGCAAGUCGAACGGUGAAGCCCUUCGGGGUAGAUCAGUGGCGAACGGGUGAGUAACACGUGAGCAACCUGCCCCUGGCUCUGGGACAACCACUGGAAACGGUGGCUAAUACCGGAUACGACCCGCCUCGGCAUCGAGUGUGGGUGGAAAGUUUUUCGGCUGGGGAUGGGCUCGCGGCCUAUCAGCUUGUUGGUGAGGUGAAGGCUCACCAAGGCGACGACGGGUAGCCGGCCUGAGAGGGCGACCGGCCACACUGGGACUGAGACACGGCCCAGACUCCUACGGGAGGCAGCAGUGGGGAAUAUUGCACAAUGGGCGAAAGCCUGAUGCAGCGACGCCGCGUGAGGGAUGACGGCCUUCGGGUUGUAAACCUCUUUCAGCUCCGAAGAAGCGAAAGUGACGGUAGGAGCAGAAGAAGCACCGGCUAACUACGU
rnacentral:rRNA from 1 species